GACGGAGGAUGCAAGCGUUAUCCGGAAUUAUUGGGCGUAAAGCGUCCGCAGGUGGAUAUACAAGUCUGCUGUCAAAGUGCAGAGCUUAACUCUGUAAAGGCGGUGGAAACUGUAGGUCUUGAGUAUGGUAGGGGUAGAGGGAAUUCCCGGUGUAGCGGUGAAAUGCGUAGAUAUCGGGAAGAACACCAGUGGCGAAAGCGCUCUACUGGGCCAUAACUGACACUGAGGGACGAAGCUAGGGAGCGAAAGGG
rnacentral:rRNA from 1 species